AUUAUGGCUAAUUUACACACCAGUAAAACAAACACACCACCGCAGCUCCGCUGGGAGAAUCUGCUGCUGCCCGCCGAGGUUCACUCGAUCCAGGACAGUGUUUCUGAAUCCAUGAUCCGUGCGACAGAAGGGACAGGAGAACACACGUGUGUUUAUCCGGUGGAGAGAGGCUCAUGAUGCUGAAUGCUGUCAUGAAAGGCUUUGACUUUUGUGGUGGAGUAGGACCUGCAAGGAAAGAUGAUG